rnacentral:rRNA from 1 species
GAUGAACGCUGGCGGUAUGCUUAACACAUGCAAGUCGUACGAAGAUCUUUGAUCUUAGUGGCGGACGGGUGAGUAACACGUGAGAAUCUGCCCUUAGGAAGAGGAUAACAGCUGGAAACGGUUGCUAAUACUCUAUACGCCGAGAGGUAAAAGGAUUUAUCCACCUUAGGAAGAGCUCGCGUCUGAUUAGCUUGUUGGUAAGGUAAUGGCUUACCAAGGCGACGAUCAGUAGCUGGUUUGAGAGGACGACCAGCCACACUGGGACUGAGACACGGCCCAGACUCCUACGGGAGGCAGCAGUGGGGAAUUUUCCGCAAUGGGCGAAAGCCUGACGGAGCAAUACCGCGUGAGGGAUGAAAGCCUGUGGUUGUAAACCUCUUUCUCAGGAAGAAGUUCUGACGGUACUUGAGGAAUAAGCAUCGGCUAACUCUGUG